UACGUAGGGCGCAAGCGUUGUCCGGAAUUAUUGGGCGUAAAGAGCUCGUAGGCGGCUUGUCACGUCGGUUGUGAAAGCCCGGGGCUUAACCCCGAGUCUGCAGUCGAUACGGGCAGGCUAGAGUGUGGUAGGGGAGAUCGGAAUUCCUGGUGUAGCGGUGAAAUGCGCAGAUAUCAGGAGGAACACCGGUGGCGAAGGCGGAUCUCUGGGCCAUUACUGACGCUGAGGAGCGAAAGCGUGGGGAGCGAACAGG
rnacentral:rRNA from 1 species